CAACAGCCACAAAUAGCUGUAGCUCAGCAAACUCCAAAAUUAUGGCAUUGUUGAGAGUUGCCCAGUUAUGCACAGGUUUGAAUUCGUACAGAGCAAGUGACCCACCAGAGAUCAAGGGGGAGAAAGAGAGGAGACAUUUCUGAUGAAAAGGAAAACAUUGAUAGCACUUAUGGGAGAAGAUAAGGGCAGCGACCAUGGCCAAGAAGAACAAAAGCUGCUGUCAACUGUCAUGAAACUCCAGGAGAUCUGACCUGAAGAAAAAGCAAACCACAGCUUCUGCUUUUACUGAACCCAUCGAGUCAAUGGUGCUCUCUCCUCACCCACAGGUCCCAAAUCAGCC
ensembl:lncRNA